rnacentral:rRNA from 1 species
UUUUACUAAAAUAAGUAUUGAUAUUUUUCCCCGAAUAGAAGUGAGCUAAACAUUUAUACUUUUGGAGAAAAUGCGUAGUAUAGUAUUUAAUAAUGGGUGUUUAGUGGUGAUAGGCUUACCAUACUUCUUGAUAGCUUGAUGUGUAAGAAAAAUAUUAAGUAUAAAGUCAUACCAAUAAAGCUAAGCUUGUUGGUUACCAUAAAAGUUGAUGUUGAACCACAAUAUAGUGUAAGAACUAAUUAGUAUUACUACUCAAUAUCUAAUACAUAUUAUUACGGUAAGUAUUACACUGUUACUACUUUUUCUAUAAUUAAUAAUGUAAAUAUGAGUAGUUUAUAUUAAAUAUUUUUAAGGAACUCGGCAAUAUGUUAUUCAACUGUUUAUCAAAAACAUAACUAUAUGAAAUAAUAUAUAGCUUUUCCUGCUCAAUGGUUAACUAAAUAGCCGCAGUACUCUGACUGUGCAAAGGUAGCAUAAUCAAUUGGCUUUUAAUUAGAGUCUGGCAUGAACGGAACUAUGGAUAACAGCUGUCUUAAAUAUACUAAAAUGACAUUAGUAAAUAAGUGAAAAUACUUAUUUAAAAAUAAAAGACGAGAAGACCCUAGAAGCUUAGAAUAUUAUUUUGUUGGGGCGACAGAAUUACAUAUAACUAAUUCUAUAUAUACUUGAAGUUAUUCGGAUAGAUAAAGCUACUCUAGGGAUAACAGCAUAAUUUUAAUUAGUUUGUGACCUCGAUGUUGGAUUAGGUAUGUUAUCCUUUAGAAGAGGAUAACAAAUGCUCUGUUCGAGCAUAGGCACCUACAU